rnacentral:rRNA from 1 species
GCAAGCCAGCAAUACACUUUGACUGCACCUGGUACCAAUUAUUGAUCACUGAAGUUAAGCAACGUUGGGUGAGGUUAGUAUCCGGAUGGGUGACCGUGUGGACAAUUACGGGCUGCUGGCU